AGUAACGCGUAGGUAACCUACCUCAUAGCGGGGGAUAACUAUUGGAAACGAUAGCUAAUACCGCAUAAGAGAGACUAACGCAUGUUAGUAAUUUAAAAGGGGCAAUUGCUCCACUAUGAGAUGGACCUGCGUUGUAUUAGCUAGUUGGUGAGGUAAAGGCUCACCAAGGCGACGAUACAUAGCCGACCUGAGAGGGUGAUCGGCCACACUGGAACUGAGACACGGUCCAG
rnacentral:rRNA from 1 species